UACGUAGGGUGCAAGCGUUGUCCGGAAUUAUUGGGCGUAAAGAGCUUGUAGGCGGUUUGUCGCGUCUGCUGUGAAAUUUCGGGGCUCAACCCCGAACUUGCAGUGGGUACGGGCAGACUAGAGUGUGGUAGGGGAGACUGGAAUUCCUGGUGUAGCGGUGAAAUGCGCAGAUAUCAGGAGGAACACCGGGUGGCGAAGGCGGGUCUCUGGGCAACUACUGACGCUGAGGAAGCGAAAGCGUGGGGAGCGAACAGG
rnacentral:rRNA from 1 species